UACAGAGGUCACAAGCGUUGUUCGGAAUUACUGGGCGUAAAGGGUGCGUAGGCUGUUUUGUAAGUCUGUCGUGAAAUACCAGGGCUCAACCCUGGGGCUGCGAUAGAUACUACAUGACUAGAGAUCGGGAGAGGUAAAUGGAAUUCCUAGUGUAGGGGUAAAAUCCGUAGAUACUAGGAGGAACACCAGAGGCGAAGGCGAUUUACUGGAACGAUUCUGACGCUGAGGCACGAAAGCGUGGGGAGCAAAUAGG
rnacentral:rRNA from 1 species